CAAAACCAUAGGUACCAUGUGCAGGAUUACUAGGCCCAAAGUUGCAGAGAUUCUAAAUCAGUCAUUCUGGAAGCAGACCCAGGAAUGUGGGUUUAUAAAAGAAAAAUCCUCCGGAUGGCUCUGUGACCCACUGAACCGGAGUUUAGUUAUAUUCCAAAAGCGAUCCUCCACCAGCUUCAGCCUCAGCUGGGUGCUUGAUAGGAAUGCGGAAUCUCAGGCCACACCCCAGACCUGCUGAAUUGCAAUCUGCGGGGAACUGUGUACACACAGGAGCAAGAGAUACUCCGCUCUACAACCUCAGGGCAAAUGCCUCAGGGCACCAUUUGACCCUUUAAAAUUCCAGGGUUCCAAAGUUCAACAUGGGAAUGUUAACAAUCUAGAAUGUAGAUUUUUGAGGUCCUAGAAUUCUAGUGUUCUAAGGUGUUAGGAUUCUAACACCCUAGGGUUUCCAGAUUUAAGACUGCUGGGAUCCCAUUGUUCUAAAAUCCUAAGGUUCAGGCCAGGCGCGGUGGCUUAUGCCUGUAAUCCCAGCUCUUUUGAAGGUCAAGAUAUGUCCACUGAUCCGCAUCUUCAUCCACUCCCUGGAUGUGAAUGUCAUUCAGCAGGUCGUCGAUAAUCCUCAGCACAAAACCCAGCUGCAAACCCUCAUCUGAAGAGGACGAAUGAGGAGGACCACUGUGGUGCAUGCUGAUUGGUUCCCAGUGGCUUGCCCCACCCCCUUAUAGCAUCUCCCUCCAGGAAGCUGCUGCCACCACCUAACCAGCGUGAAAGCCUGAGUCCCACCAGAAGGACCUUCCCAGAUACCCCUUCUCCUCACAGUCAGAACAGCAGCCUCUACACAUGUUGUCCUGCCCCUGGCAAUAAAGGCCCAUUUCUGCACCCUUCUGUGUGGCUUGUUGCAUUCCCUCCAUUUGGG
rnacentral:lncRNA from 1 species